rnacentral:rRNA from 1 species
AUGGCAGAAGAGGAUUGGAUUCCAAUCGGGAUGCAACAGGAUGAGUUCCCAUUCCAGCCGCGGACGGCAGAGGAUUUUCUAAUGGAGCUGCAACAGGACGAGUUCCUGUUCCAGCCGCAGGCAGAAGAGGGAUUUCUAACCGAGAUGGAGCAGGAUGAGUUCCGGUUCCAGCCGCGGACGGCAGAGGAUUUUCUAAUGGAGCUGCAGCAGGAUGAGUUCCCGUUCCACCCGCAGACGGCACAGGAUUAUCUAAUCGAGCUGCAGCAAGCGUUCGAUAUGUGGCGGGCAGAAGAGGGUUUUCCAAUCGUGAAGCAACAGGAGGAGCGCCCGUUCGAGUUCGAGGUCGCCCCGAUGGAGGAGCUGCCGGAGCUGCUGCCGCAGGACCAGUUCGAUUCUUACCUGGAGCACAUGAUGGAGGGGCUACCCCAGGAUGCUAUCGACAGUUUGCAGCAGGAAUUCCCAGCGCUCUUCGGCCAGGCCACGGUGGAAACUCCCCGGUGUCAGCGGGCGGAUCCCGCGGAGGAGCCACGCCCGCCGCUAAUCUAG